rnacentral:rRNA from 1 species
CGGGGUGCAGCAGGCGCGAAAACUCCACAAUGUACGGAAGUACGAUGGGGUUAUCUCGAGUGCAGUCCGAUAAGGGCUGCUUUUCCAUAGAGUAAUAUCCUGUGGGAAUAAGAGGGGGGCAAGACUGGUGUCAGCCGCCGCGGUAACACCAGCCCCUCGAGUGGUGGGGACUAUUAUUUGGCCUAAAGCGUCCGUAGCUGGCUGUAUCCGUCCCCCGUUAAAUCCAGCGUCCUAAGCGUUGGACCGCGGGUGAUGCCAUACAGCUAGAGGGUGGGAUAGGUGAGCGGUAUUUCUGGGGUAGGGGCGAAAUCCUUUGAUCCCAGGAGGACCACCAGUGGCGAAGGCUGCUCACUAGAACACGCCUGACGGUCAGGGACGAAAGCUGGGGCAGCGGACCGGAUUAGAUACCCGGGUAGUCCCAGCUGUAAACGAUGCUAGCUAGGUGUUGGGUCGGCCACGCGCCGCCCCAGUGCCGCAGGGAAGCCGUUAAGCUAGCCGCCUGGGGAGUACGGCCGCAAGGCUGAAACUUAAAGGAAUUGGCGGGGGAGCACAAGGGCGAUUGC